GGGCUUUUGGCACAGUUGGUAGCGCGCAUGCUUCGCAUGCAUGAGGUCGUGGGUUCAACUCCCACAGAGUCCA
rnacentral:tRNA from 1 species